GGGGCUGUCGGCUAGUUUGGUCUAGGCUUGGAGCCUCGGGCGCUCUAGACCCCGGUUCAAAUCCGGGCAGCCCCACCA
rnacentral:tRNA from 1 species